rnacentral:rRNA from 1 species
GGACCCGCACAAGUAGUGGAGCAUGUGGUUUAAUUCGAAGAUACGCGCAGAACCUUACCAACACUUGACAUGUUCGUCGCGACUUUAAGAGAUUAAAGUUUUCGGUUCGGCCGGACGAAACACAGGUGCUGCAUGGCUGUCGUCAGCUCGUGUCGUGAGAUGUUGGUUAAGUCCCGCAACGAGCGCAACCCUCACUUUUAGUUGCCAUCAUUUAGUUGGGCACUCUGAAAGAACUGCCAGUGAUAAGCUGGAGGAAGGUGGGGAUGACGUCAAGUCCUCAUGGCCCUUACGUGUUGGGCUACACACGUGCUACAAUGGUAUUUACAAAAAGGAAGCAAGACGGCGACGUUAAG